rnacentral:rRNA from 1 species
UACGUAGGGUGCAAGCGUUGUCCGGAAUUAUUGGGCGUAAAGAGCUCGUAGGCGGUUUGUCGCGUCUGCUGUGAAAACUCGGGGCUUAACUCCGGGCCUGCAGUGGGUACGGGCAGACUAGAGUGCGGUAGGGGAGACUGGAAUUCCUGGUGUAGCGGUGGAAUGCGCAGAUAUCAGGAGGAACACCGGUGGCGAAGGCGGUUCUCUGGGCAUUACCUGACGCUGAGGAGCGAAAGUGUGGGGAGCGAACAGG